rnacentral:lncRNA from 1 species
UCUUUCUAUCUCAAAAUUGGAGCCAGUGACAGAGGAUAGUUGAAAUUCAAUUCUCGCAACCUUUUAAUAAUAAAGGAAUAACCUUGGUACGUCAGGCGUAGGGACGCGUAGCGAAACGAAGAAUAUAUUGACGUGGAAAAGGAGAAACAUCUUUACUUUUUCAAGAUAUUCGAGUAAAUUAACACUUUGGAGGGUCACGAAAAGUAGAUGGAAGGUCUCAUUGGGAUGGAAAAUGUUGUAAAUUUGGCUUUGGAGUAUUCAGACUGAGGGAUGAGGCCUUCUGGAGGAGGUCAUAUCUAAUGAUGAGUACUUUGUACGGGAGUCUUAGUGUGCAAAUUCGUACUGGCAUUUUUUUCCUUGGAGAUCGAUGAACUCGGAUAAGAGCCCCUCAGUCAACGGAUGGACUCCGAGAGAACUCCCCCUCCUCUGAAUACUCCCAAACCAAAUUCCUAACAUUUUCCAUCCCAAUGAGACCUUUCAUCUUCAUUUCGUGACCCUUCAAAGUGGUAAUUAUUCCAAUAUCUUGAAAAAGUUGAGAUACUUAUCCUUUUCCUACGUCAUCGUUUCGCUUCGCGUCCCUACGCCAGACGAAUAUUAUUAUUAAAAGGUUGCGAGAAUUGAGUUUUAACUUUCCAGCCUCGCUGGCUCCAAUUUUGAGAUAGAAAGAGAAAGUAUGGCGUGCGGGCAAACUUAUAUAGGAUACCUGCUUAACGAACAUAUUGAAAGGUUAAAAUUAUUAAGGGAUCCAUUUAUAUAUAGAUAUUAUGAUCCUACUAAUUCAUCCAAUCAGAGUUCAGAAAAGUGAUUCAGAGAAUAAAAAAACAGAUUGAUUGAUGGAUGACACAAAAAUACCCUGCAUAUUUUGGUGUUAUUGAGGAUACGCCUUGCUCUCCAUGGAAAAUUCCUUCAAGUAGUAGUACUGUAAAAUCAUUCCUCCUAUAUAAAUAUUAAGUCAAAGUAUGGUAGUUUUGAGGCUCAAAACUUACAAAAUAUGUAUAUUUACAGUUACAGGUGUGUUACUCAGUCAGAGGGGAACUACUAUUUCAACAAAAUAUCUUUAAUGAAGGUAGUAUUAUAGCAUAUUAUUGUCUUAAAGAAUGUUUUUAUUAAGCCAUAUAUAGAGAUUUGAAUUGUAAAUCUAAAGUCAUUCAACAACUGACUCUUGCAAUCAUUUAAUGUAUAUACAUAUCUAUAUAUGGUGUCCCGUAAAAUGAUUGUGAUAAAAAGGUUGCAGACAAAAAUGUUGUAGAUAAUAUCAUCGUGAAGCCAUAUGAUUGUGAGUAACUUCAUUGCAAGAUAAUAAUAUCGUGUGCAAUUUUGUUGCAAUUUAUAUUAUAUUCA